UCCAGAAAAACGCAAAAAAAAAAAAUCGAGGAAAAAACUGAAAGCUGUUGACUGGACAGCGGAGGCAAUGAUUUAGUGGCCUAUAAAAGGCCACUUCCCUGACCUAAAACCCCAACCAAUCUUAAAAAGGGGAAGCCCCCGAUGGAAGUCGUAAAAGUUUUCGGCAUGAGUAUAUCGUGUCAGUUGUCGUGUCAUGUCAUGACCUCCUGGAACAUUUUAUGGCCGCUCCGGAAACGAGAAAAACGGGUGACAGCAAUUCAAUUCCCACCCCCACGAACACGAACUCCCCGCGCCACUUGAUCCCCAUUUGAUUUGUCAAAUGCUCCAGACAUCAGAGACGUUGGUAUGCAGGGGCAAAAGUACACACUCAUUCUCAGCAAAGCAAAAAAGGGUUCCCACAUCGGCCUCACCAGCAAUGACACUUGUAGCAGACAAAUGGGAUCUUGGAAUACCGGGCGGAACCUUGUACACCCUUUCCCUCUUGAAAAUACAGCAGUGAAUGCGAGAGCACAAGGAGCACUUACAUAAGUCAAAUUGACUAACAUCCUUACCUCGGGAAAUAAUAUUCGAGUUGCACCUUAUUUAUUGAUACAACUAAGCAACCUUGCUCUGAGUCCAUCAAGCCAGAUGAUCCAACUUGAUGUAGGACUCUCAGGAUACGAGGGACUUUGGGGAUGCGGUGUCUGGAUUCCGACCAUCCGCAUAUCCCUCUCCGCCUGCGACUCCGGCGGAGCUAAAAUGACAUUCACUGACACUGAGCACUCGUCGCCUGGGAGUCUCGCAAUAAAAAUAAAACGAUUCUCAAAUAAGCGCUCAGGGAGCUUGUCACAGGAGCUGUCUUUUCGCUGCCAAAACAGCUCGCAUAUCCUUUCUGCCUGC